rnacentral:tRNA from 1 species
GCGCUCGUAGCUCAGCCGGAUAGAGCGGCGGUUUCCUAAACCGCAGGUCGCAGGUUCGAGUCCUGCCGGGCGCA